AGGGGGGGGGCCGAUAAUAUAUUGUUACUCGCAGUCGUACCUCACUUAACUGAACCUUCGGGGUACGUUAAGGGCGGCGAGCGGCGGACGGGUGAGUAAUGCCUGGGAAUAUGCCCUGAUGUGGGGGAUAACUAUUGGAAACGAUAGCUAAUACCGCAUAAUCUCUUCGGAGCAAAGAGGGGGACCUUCGGGCCUCUCGCGUCAGGAUUAGCCCAGGUGGGAUUAGCUUGUUGGUGAGGUAAUGGCUCACCAAGGCAACGAUCCCUAGCUGGUCUGAGAGGAUGAUCAGCCACACUGGAACUGAGACACGGUCCAGACUCCUACGGGAGGCAGCAGUGGGGAAUAUUGCACAAUGGGGGAAACCCUGAUGCAGCCAUGCCGCGUGUGUGAAGAAGGCCUUCGGGUUGUAAAGCACUUUCAGUAGGGAGGAAGGUAGUGUAGUUAACACCUGCGUUAUUUGACGUUACCUACAGAAGAAGCACCGGCUAACUCCGUGCCAGCAGCCGCGGUAAUACGGAGGGUGCGAGCGUUAUUUCGUAAUUACUGGGCGCAUAGCGAAUGCAAUCG
rnacentral:rRNA from 1 species